rnacentral:rRNA from 1 species
GACGAACGCUGGCGGCGUGCUUAACACAUGCAAGUCGAACGAAGUGGCUAACGGGUGAGUAACGCGUAAUCAACCUGCCCUUCAGAGGGGGACAACAGUUGGAAACGACUGCUAAUACCGCAUACUGAAGGAGGGGAUUGCGUCUGAUUAGCUAGUUGGAGGGGUAACGGCCCACCAAGGCGAGGAUCAGUAGCCGGUCUGAGAGGAGGAAAGGCCACAUUGGGACUGAGACACGGCCCAGACUCCGACGGGAGGCAGCAGUGGGGAAUCUUCCGCAAUGGACGAAAGUCUGACGGAGCAACGCCGAGGGAGUGAUGACGGCGUUCGGGUUGUGAAGCUCUGUGAAUCGAGACGCGGUACCGGAACAGAAAGCCACGGAGCACUACGUGCCAGCAGCCGCGGUAAUAC